GAUGAACGCUGGCGGCGUGCCUAAUACAUGCAAGUCGAGCGAAGCGGGGACGGGUGAGUAACACGUGGAUAACCUCCUAUAAGACUGGGAUAACUUCGGGAAACCGGAGCUAAACCGGAUACUUAUAUAUGGAUUCUCGUGGCAUUAGUUAGUUGGUAAGGUAACGACUUACCAAGGCAACGAUGCAUGGCGGACCUGAGAGGGUGAUCGGCCGAACGAGAGCUAAGACGCGGUCCAGACUCCUACGAGAGAAAGCGGUAGGGAAUAUUCCGCAAUGGGCGAAAGCCUGGCGGGGCUAGGCCGCGUUAGUGAUAAAGGUCUUCGGGUCGUAAAACUCGGUUAUUAGGGAUGCGGUACCUAGUCAGAAAGCCACGGCUAACUCCGUGCCAGCAGCCGCGGUAAUUC
rnacentral:rRNA from 1 species